rnacentral:rRNA from 1 species
GAUGAACGCUGGCGGCGUGCUUAACACAUGCAAGUCGAACGGACUUUACAUGAAGCCUAGCGAUUGUAAAGUUAGUGGCGGACGGGUGAGUAACGCGUGGGUGACCUGCCUUAUACUGGGGGGAUAACACUUAGAAAUAGGUGCUAAUACCGCAUAAGCGCACAGUUCUGCAUGGAACAGUGUGAGAAACUGAGGUGGUAUAAGAUGGACUCGCGUCCGAUUAGCUAGUUGGUGAGGUAACGGCCCACCAAGGCGACGAUCGGUAGCCGAACUGAGAGGUUGAUCGGCCGCAUUGGGACUGAGACACGGCCCAGACUCCUACGGGAGGCAGCAGUGGGGGAUAUUGCACAAUGGAGGAAACUCUGAUGCAGCAACGCCGCGUGAGGGAAGACGGUCUUCGGAUUGUAAACCUAAGUUAUCAGGGACGAACAAGAUGACGGUACCUGAAGAGAAAGCUCCGGCUAACUACGUG